rnacentral:rRNA from 1 species
CCAAGUAGCGGCGAGCGAACCGGGAAGAGUCCAGCGCCGAAUCCGGGUGUGCCUGCGCGCGUGCCUGGAAAUGUGGCGUAUGGGAGGCUGCGUGCCGCCGGCGAAGUCCGAGGAGCAAGUCCCCUUGAUUGGGGCGAGCGUAAUGCGACCAAAGCGGGUGCGAGUCCCGUAGCCCUCGGUAACUGUCUGGCGGAGUGCGGUCUCUCGUGAGUCGGGUUGCUUGAGAGUGCAGCCCUAAGAAAGGUGGUAAACUCCAUCUAAGACUAAAUACGACCUCGAGACCGAUAGCGAACAAGUACCGUGAGGGAAAGUUGCAAAGAACUUUGAAGAGAGAGUUCAAGAGUACGUGAAACUGUUCAGAGGAAAACGGGUGGGCGUUCGAACCCCCCCUCGGCGGUUGCCUGGAUUCAGUCCGUCGCUUUUUCCGGAGAGUUAUCGUUCGUCGGUCGCGGCGUCGGCGUUCCGUUUCGGCGGGCCCGACGAGUCUGCGGCGGCGGUUGCGGUUUUCUUCGAGGGGAAUCGCGGCGGAUGCAUUUCCGUGGUUUUCCGCCCGAGUACAGGGCGCUGCGACCGAUCGGGCACCAAAAGAGUGCCGGCCCCGGGCCGAGUAAGCGGUUAGGAGCGCCGUUCGCGAGUGCGGGUUCGCGCCCGCACGAGCGUCGGUUCGUUCCUCCGGCUCGGCGUUAACCGCGGUCGGUCGUCCGAUCGGUGUGUGCAGAAGUGCAGUGGUGUGCGGUGCUCUCGCUUAAAGCCGAGUCGGGCCGAGGUCGAGCGGUUUCCUUUGGUUUAGCAGUCGUCUCUCGGGACGACGGUUUGAAAAGGCUUUCCAUCGGUGAAUCCUGGCGCCUCGGCUCUGAGUCUCGGUGAGUUGUCGCCCAACCAUCGCGGCGAGCGUCUCGGUGUCCCACCCGACCCNNNNNNNNNNNNNGACCAAGGAGUCUAACCCGUAUGCGAGUCGUAGGGUCUUGCGUAGGCCCCGUGGCGAAGCGAAAGCAAAGUCGAGACAUUUGGAACUUUUCGGAGUUCCGUUUAGCAUCGGCGGCUCGGCGGACGUUCGGGUCCAAACGGCCCGUCCGGCGUUAAAAACCGGAUGGCGAGUCGUGCCCGGCUCGUCGGAGUCUGAGCAUACGAGUUGGUACCCGAAAGAUGGUGAACUAUGCCCCGCCAGGGCGAAGUCGGAGGAAACUCCGGUGGAGGCCCGAAGCGGUUCUGACGUGCAAAUCGAUCGUCGGAGCGAGGUAUAGGGGCGAAAGACCAAUCGAACCAUCUAGUAGCUGGUUCCCUCCGAAGUUUCCCUCAGGAUAGCUGGCAUUCGUGAAACUCAGUCUCUCCUCGUAGAGAGAAUGAAUAGAGGCCCUGGGGCCCUAGACGACCUCAACCUAUUAUCAAACUGCUACGAGGUGCGUCGGUGGUUUCGGCUUGCUGACUUGAAGUCGACCACGUUGCUGGGAUGUGUGAGUGCCGUGUGGGCCACUUUUG